GCAGGAUCAUUAGCUGGCAGGAUCAUUAGCUGGCAGGAUCAUUAGCUGGCAGGAUCAUUAGCUGGCAGGAUCAUUAGCUGGCAGGAUCAUUAGCUGGCAGGAUCAUUAGCUGGCAAGAUGAAAUACUCAGAGUAUUUUAUCUGUCUUUACAUUCUGAGUUCAAAUGCUGCAGAGGUUGACUUUGCCUUUCAUCCUUUCAGGGUCAAUGGAAUUAAAUGACUCAGUUUUGCUAGUAUUGCUAGCCAAAAAGAUGUUUUGGACAUGGAUCAAAAUUUUUUUAAAUGUGGGAAAAGUAUUCCAUGAAAAUUAAGAGUAUUUCUUUUGUCUAAGGAAGAUCAAAGGGAAGUUCGUUCUUUUUACUAUAAAACAGAACAUGAAGAGAAAUUCUUUUAUACCCUUGAAAGAGAAGUUGAAGAAAGCCCCAUCUCAACAUGAGGUAGGACGUGAUCACCACUGACUGACAGGUGUAGAACAUUUAGAAGUAUGUGAUUGGUUUUAAUGAAUGAGAACUAGGUAAAGAGAUGAGCAGAACUGGUGCAUGACACACCUCGCCAUUGACGAGCAGUUUGUGGGAGAAAGGAAUAAAAGGGUCACAGGUAGAGAAAUUGCUAUUGACACUGACCCCUGAUUUGUUGUCAACUUUUGUGGAAAGGAUGAGCAGGUGUAGAGAGGGGGGUGCAGAGGCUAAAUACCUCCUUUUACAUUAUUAUUGUUAUUUAUUUCAUUAAAGUGCUAACAACUGUUUCCUGUGGUGUAAAGUAUCAGUUGUGCUGUGGAAGGGGGUUGGUAAAUGUGUGUGUGUGCAAUAGACAAAGCCACACAAAAGCUACUAGCACACACACACACACACAAUAAUAGGCCGUGUGAGAGAGUGGGGGGGGGGAUGUGUAGAUGUGCAGCUGCCAUUAGUAUUCAAACGUGUGUGAGUAUGUGUAUGUGUGUGCACAUAGAUAUGGAGUUUUUCCAACUAUGUUCUAAACUUUCUUCGUAAAAGAUAUGUAACCUUAUCUACUGGAUAUGGGUGUUACUGACUUUGUAAUAUCAUGUGCUUGUCAAGCAAAUUUAUUACUGAAAUGGUGUUUGGUGUGUUAUGGUGGACAAUGGAUCAGAGAGCACAACAGUAAGAACUGAAUCGAGAGAAGCAGAGAAGAUAGAGGAAAAGAUAGGGGUAGAGGCAAAGGAAAAGAGACAGGAAUUAGGAACGAAAAGAGAAGAGAAAGGAGGAAGAAAAAAUGAGAUUAAUGCAAGAAAUAAAGUUAGAAGAUGUCGUAUGAUGAACGAUGAAGAUGAAGCUAAACGGGGAAAGAAUGAGAAUUAGUAAUGAAGAAAGGAGGCGAAAUAUUAAUGAUGAUGAUAGGUAAGAGGUAAGGAUAUCUUGCACAAGCCAGAAUGAGGAAACGGGUUAGAAUGGGAAAAUAUGACCAAAGAGAAUAAGAGAAGAUUUUCCAAGAAAUUAAUCUAAGAAUCAUAAAGGAAAGGACAGGAUGUUAUUGUCAAGUAGGGGAAAUGUUUAUGGAAGACAUAAAAUUGGUCAUGGAAUCUCCAUGGGUACUGUUAAUGAUUAUCAUUAUCUAUAUUAUACUAAAUUGUUAUCUGUAUUAUACUAAAACUCAAAGUUUGUCUGUUUUCCUGCCAUUUGAUUAAGAUGAUAAAGAUUACAAAUAAAAUAGUCAUUUCCCCCUUUAAGAAAAAAAAAAAAAAAUCAAGUUGCAAAAUGUCGACACUUCAAGGAGUUGUCUCAGCUCCCGCCGUCCAUCCUUUUUACUUUGCAAGUGCAGUAAAUUUGAAAGAUAGAAAUUCUCCCUAUAUUUCUUAUGAGAUAUUUUUGUAUCACAGGUACUUGAUAUUUUUUUUUUUCUUAAAGGGGAACAUUUCUAAUUUUAUUUAAAAUAAAAUAUUAAUCUUUAUCAUUUUAAUCAAAAAGCAGAAAAAAAUAACCCCCCCCCCAGAUUAUCUCUUUAUAGACGAAGAUCUGUUGCAAUGGGAGAAGAUGAAUCGAGAAUGGAAAAACUAACGACAAAUGGGAAGUACGUUAUAGUGCUACUUCAAUGUUGAAAGUGUUGCUUCAGUGAGGUCAAUUAAGUACGUCAUCAAGUACACUCGGAAGGGAAAUGACCAAGCUGCUGUUGAAAUAAACAAUGACAAUGAAAUUAGUCAAUAACUAAUGGCUUAGUUACAUUGGACCAUCUGAAGCAGUUGCAUCCAUUUUAGGAUUUUCAAUUCACGAAAGAGCACCUGUAAUAGUGAGACUGCAAAUUCAUUUACCAGGAUGAACAAAGAAUAUUGCUCAGAAACUAUGAGGAUAUAUAUAUAUAUAUAUGGCUGUCAAUGAGUGACAUAUGAGAACAACAUUGACAGAAUUCUUUUCAUUGUUCAUCCAUGAUGACUUUGCAAAAACAUUACUUUCUGCUGAAGUCCCCAUGUAAUUUCACUUGGAACAAAGAAGAAAGCAAGGAAUAAAAAAUUGACGGUCAUUCAUUUGAACAUUUUCAAAGGAGAAACACUCGGUUGUGCUUUUUGUUGUCAGACCAAAGCCAAGAGAACUGUAUUAUUUAAGAAUUUUGUUGAAUGAGGUUCAAAACAGUACUUUUUUCCUUUCCCGCUGCGCAUCAACAUUUUCAACUUGGAAUGGUUGUAACCCAACAGGUCAUGGCAGGGAAACGUUGUCAUCAGUUGGUAUUGGUACAUCAAUGAGAAAGCAUUGUUUUUCUUCAUGAUCUCUGACAACUAUAUCUGGCCUAUUGGCCUUAAUUUCUCUAUCUGUGUGUAUUGGCAUAUCCCAGAGUAUGGUUGCUUAUCAUUAUUAUUAAGGGUAGUGAACUAGUAGAAUUGUUAGUAUCUUCAACAAGAGGCUUAACAGCAUUACAUCUGUCUUCACGCUCUGAGUUCAAAUGCAGCCAAGGUUGACUUUGCCGUUCAUCUUUCCAGAGCCAAUGAAAUAAGUACCAGUUGAACACUAGGGAUGGGUUAACUGACCCCUCAAAACUGCUGGCCUUGUGCCAAAAUUUAGAAAUAAUUAUUAUUAUUAUUACAAAUAAAAAGAAAAAAUAUAUAAAGAAAAAAUACAAUAAAUGAAAUAAAGAAAUCAACAACAUCAUCAA